AUUGAACGCUGGCGGCAGGCCUAACACAUGCAAGUCGAGCGGAGCGGCGGACGGGUGAGUAAUGCCUAGGAAUCUGCCUGGUAGUGGGGGAUAACGUCCGGAAACGGGCGCUAAUACCGCAUACUAUCAGAUGAGCCUAGGUCGGAUUAGCUAGUUGGUGGGGUAAAGGCCUACCAAGGCGACGAUCCGUAACUGGUCUGAGAGGAUGAUCAGUACCACUGGAACGGAGACACCGUCCAGACUCCUUCGGGAGGGCACAGUUGGGAAUAUUGGGCCAUUGGCGGAAGCCUUGUCCAUGCAUGCCGCGUGUGUGAAGAAGGUCUUCGGAUUUUAAAUCUCGUUGUUUUGGAAGACGUUACUUAACCAAUAAGCGCCGGCUAACUUCGUGCCAGCAGCCGCGGUAAUUC
rnacentral:rRNA from 1 species